rnacentral:rRNA from 1 species
AUUGAACGCUGGCGGCGUGCUUAACACAUGCAAGUCGAGCGGUAACGCGGGGGCAACCCUGGCGACGAGCGGCGAACGGGUGAGUAAUGCUUCGGAAUCUUCCUAGUGGUGGGGAAUAAC